GAUGAACGCUGGCGGCGUGCUUAACACAUGCAAGUCGAACGGAAAGGCCGAAGCUUGCUUCGGUACUCGAGUGGCGAACGGGUGAGUAACACGUGGGUGAUCUGCCCUGUACUUCGGGAUAAGCUUGGGAAACUGGGUCUAAUACCGGAUAUGACGAUCUCUUGGAUGGGGUUGUGGAAAGCUUUUGCGGUAUGGGAUGAGCUCGCGGCCUAUCAGCUUGUUGGUGGGGUAAUGGCCUACCAAGGCGUCGACGGGUAGCCGGCCUGAGAGGGUGUACGGCCACAUUGGGACUGAGAUACGGCCCAGACUCCUACGGGAGGCAGCAGUGGGGAAUAUUGCACAAUGGGCGCAAGCCUGAUGCAGCGACGCCGCGUGGGGGAUGACGGCCUUCGGGUUGUAAACUCCUUUCGCAAUCGACGAAGCCUUUUGGUGGCGGUAGGUUGAGAAGAAGCACCGGCUAACUACGUG
rnacentral:rRNA from 1 species